UACGUAGGGUGCAAGCGUUGUCCGGAAUUAUUGGGCGUAAAGAGCUUGUAGGCGGUUUGUCGCGUCUGCUGUGAAAUUUCGGGGCUCAACCCCCGAACUUGCAGUGGGUACGGGCAGACUAGAGUGUGGUAGGGGAGACUGGAAUUCCUGGUGUAGCGGUGAAAUGCGCAGAUAUCAGGAGGAACACCGAUGGCGAAGGCAGGUCUCUGGGACGGUACUGACGCUGAGACGCGAAAGCGUGGGGAGCGAACAGG
rnacentral:rRNA from 1 species